CCUACGGGAGGCAGCAGUGAGGAAUAUUGGUCAAUGGGCGCAAGCCUGAACCAGCCAAGUCGCGUGAGGGAUGACGGUCCUAUGGAUUGUAAACCUCUUUUGUCGGGGAGCAAGGCCCGCCACGUGUGGCGGGAAGGAGAGUACCCGAAGAAAAAGCAUCGGCUAACUCCGUGCCAGCAGCCGCGGUAAUACGGAGGAUGCGAGCGUUAUCCGGAUUUAUUGGGUUUAAAGGGUGCGUAGGCGGAAGGUUAAGUCAGCGGUAAAAUGUCGGUGCUCAACACCGGCCGGCCGUUGAAACUGGUCUUCUUGAGUGAGCGAGAAGUAUGCGGAAUGAGUGGUGUAGCGGUGAAAUGCAUAGAUAUCACGCAGAACUCCGAUUGCGAAGGCAGCAUACCGGCGCUCAACUGACGCUGAGGCACGAAAGCGUGGGGAUCGAACAGGAUUAGAUACCCCUGUAGUC
rnacentral:rRNA from 1 species